CAGUAGCCGCGGGAAUACGGAGGAUCCUAGCGUUAUCCGGAUUUAUUGGGUUUAAAGGGUGCGUAGGCGGCCUAUUAAGUCAGGGGUGAAAGACGGUAGCUUAACUAUCGCAGUGCCUUUGUUACUGAUGGGCUUGAAUACACUUGAGGUAGGCGGAAUGUGACAAGUAGCGGUGAAAUGCAUAGAUAUAUCACAGAACACCAAUUGCGAAGGCAGCUUACUAAAGUGUCAUUGGCGCUGAGGCACGAAAGCGUGGGGAUCAAACAGGAUUAGAUACCCCCGUAGUCCCUGUCUCUUAUAA
rnacentral:rRNA from 1 species